GCAGUUGUGGCUGAGUGGUUAAGGUGAUGGACUAGAAAUCCAUUGGGUUUUGCCCGUGCAGGUUCAAACCCUGCCAACUACG